rnacentral:tRNA from 1 species
GGGCUCGUAGCUCAUCAGGAAGAGCGCCGCUCUUGCACAGCGGAGGCGACCGGUUCGAGUCCGGUCGGGUCCA